GUUGUCCCGUGUUUUUUCUCUUCACGUUUUUCUCCUACCAUGUAUCUCUUUGUUUCUAGAGUGGAUCCAUGCCACCAAAUUCUUGGAUAAAUAAUGAGUGCCUAGAUAUGUAUGCUGACAUGUGAGUUAAUUAUUUGGAAAAAAUAUAAUCAUAUAUGUAUUGCCAACAAUUUUUAUGUUUAAAGCAACCAAUUUUGUGAAAAGAGUGGAGAGAAAGAUACAUGUGCAAUUUCUUGAUGUUACAACGCAUGGAUACUCGAUCUUUAAACAUAAGCACGGAUGAAUAGGUACAAAUUCGAGGAAAGGCCAAUGAAAUAGUUGUCUGUACACAUAUGUGCCAGUUUUAUACCUGGUUGUCUGGUUGCAUUAUUUAUCCGGUUUCAAUUCAGUUUGAGUAGAUUGUUAUCCGUGAGCGAUACUUGCUACUAUUUGUUGCCAUGCACCAAUUUGCAUACCUAUUUUAGGCAUAGAAACCAACCAUGACUGAAAAUCAUGUAUAUGUAAUUUAGUAUGAUUCAUGGUGAGAAAAUCAUGAUUCAAUAAACGAAAGGUGGUUUGUUUUGCUAACAGUAUUGAGUAUAAAUGUAAAUCACAGAUCGUACGCUGCUGCUAUAGGCUCCAUGUUGUUUAUGCUAGACAACACAACGGUGCUUGUGUUAUCUAUAGUUGAAGUCACAGUUUAAUAUUCUUUGCUUUAUGUUUGGGUUAUAUGUGGUUGAAGGGACGUCCUUGUUAGUUUGCAUGGUCUAUGUAAGAAGGGGCAGUACAAUGCUUGUCAAGUUUGUUUAUAUUCGGAUGGCUGUUGAAUUCUGGACAAUGGAGACGUGAAUUUGUUACGUACAUAGGAAGAACGCACAGUCUGCACUGGGGUAUAAUUUAUCUACUACUUACCUUUGUGUCUCGACAUAUGCUUGUAAUGCAUCGUGCUACCAGAGGCCAACAUUAUCCAGUAUCAUAGCGAUGCUAAAAAUGCCUAUUGGUUACUCCGCAUAUUCUCAUCUGAUUUCUCAUAUAUAGAUAUUAAUUUCCUUUCAUGGGAGGCCUUCAUUACAUUUCAGCAGCAGUUGCGGAUGUGGUCGGUGGUUGAGGGAGGGUCUCCGACUAGAGCAGCAGGAGCAAGGAGCUCGAGGAAGUUCAGGUUUAUGGCCUCUCACGGGAUGUGAUUCUGGUCAUGCUGCCUAUUAUGAAGACUGAGGCAAGCAUCAUGAAGAUGAGCAGGCGAGUGGCUGAUACAGAGAGCUCCUCGAACAGGGAAGUAGCAUUGCUGGAGGAACUCGAAGAUGAGCUGGUCAAUUUUGGCAUGUCCAGUUCAUGUAACCUUUUCAUCUUUACAUGUCUUUGCCUUACUACCAUUUUAUUUUUGCUGCUCUGGGAUUAGGUACCGAAGUCAUGCAUUUGCCUUACUAUUGUGCUGAUACUGGGUGCAACAUUGUGGACCUUUGGUUCGAGAAUGGCCAGCAUGGCCAUGGAAUGUAGGAGAGGAAUGUAUUGCCUAAUGAGUUUCGGAUCCUCUGUGCUUCCUAUCACAUAUGGCUUGGCCACCUACAGAUUCUUGGGUCUAGGUGAGCUCUCCCUCCACUCUCCAAGUUUUGCUUGCUCUUUCUGGGCUAUUUGUGUAGGCUAGCCCCUUUCCUAAGUCUCUUAUUUUAUUAUGGAUCAUGGAAGCGGGAAGUGUAACUCACAUUUUUAGAACACUGAUCCUUUAGGUAUAUAUAGUUUGGUUUUCUAAAAGUGGAUUGCAUUUGCUUCCUGAUCACAUUGAAACAAGAGUGGAAAUAACCAUCGUCCUCUGUCCGUUCUUCCUCCCUCAAGUUCCUGAUCUGAAGCGGAGGGAACAUGAGGUCACAUCCGCAAAGUGGCGGAAGGGGGCUGCAACGUUUUUCUUCAGUCUGGUAAUCAUAUAGUAAUUAGACGGUGUAGUACUAUGGCGUUGGUAUACUGAUUUGGUGUAAGAAUCACUAACAUGACUUUACGUGUACAAAUCUUACAGGUUAAUGAUAUUAAGAAUUAGUAGCGUGUUUUUUGUUUACUGCUGGAUUUGCUAACAAGCUGUCUCUUGUGUCGUUGUUGAUAUGUUGACUUGUUGUUUUUUGUUCAGUUGAAGGGUUCUCCAGGCUUAAGAUCUUUCUAGGAUAAUUGCAUCAUUGAAUCUGAAGGUAUUUGAUUGGUUUCUCAACUCAUGUAUCGAUAAGCAUUUUUUUCAUCCUCAAUAUAUUGUUACUUACCUAACUUGUCGUAUAUUUGUGAGGUUUCUGAGGAAGUUCACUUCUUGCACGCGGCGUAUAACUUGAGUUGCCUACAAAUGAUUUUGCCAGUUCGACGAAAACUUAAAAUAACCAAGGGAAAUUUCUCAGUUUUGUUGUUCUUGCUCUUCUCAGAUCUUAGGUCGGGGGUAUUAACAUAUAUGCCACACACUAAGUGUAGAUCUUAGUGUGAGAUUAAAUAGGGUAAAUCCUUGUGCCAUGUUGAAGAAUUAGAAUUACAAAAAAGAAAGGAAAUAUUAAAGAAGGGAUAUGGUUGAUUAGGUUAUUUUGGUGUUUCUUUGUAAAUAAUGACAUGCUAACUUGCUGGUUUAAUUUAGGUGGGUGGAAUAUAGGAAAUACAAGGAGAGAUAUUCAGUUGCAAUCCAGCUUUAUUUUCAAAGUGAAACAUGGUAUACAUGCAUAGCAUGCUGGUCUUUUACUCUAUAGUUGUGCGCCGCCAUGGUGUCAACUUUGAAGUUGCAAACUGAACUGUAAAAUGUUUUAAUGCCUUGGGGCAUGAAUUUUUCUUUGCCUGCUCUGACUACUUCAUUUAUGUUUAUUUAUCAGGUUAUGCGAUCUCCUAUGUUGCUGCAUGUUGAUCUUCUGUUUUGUUGUAACUCUGUUUUGCUGCUCGAGGUUUGCUUCCUUUCUUUCCAGCUACAUGUGUAUUCUUUGAAUUCAAGCUACAUGCAUGUUUAUCUUUUGCUCACGGAAUAGUUUAGUUAUAUUGAACAGGAGCAUCUCUGUUAUUAGAGACAUACUAGGCUCGUGCUUCUUCACAGUGGCCAUCUCUUUUUUUGUGAGAAGUGUGCCUCAUGGCUUAUUCUUAUAUAUUCAGUUCUUCUGCCUUUCAACGAUCAAUUACCAAGCCAUUUUUAUGGAGCCGAUAGUGUUACUUCUGGUGGUCAGUGGUAACUGAAAAUAUCUUUCAUUAUCAUUGCUUGCUAUGUAUCCAUUUUUUUCUUUUCGCUUUGCUUUGAUGUGUUUGUUUCUAUGGAGUCUCUGCUACCCUACAACAUCAAGAUGAAAACUAAGCAUGUGAGUUUCUUGGAGCAGCCCUACAUGUGGUUGUUGUGCCUUUUUCCCUUGUUCUUUUGAAAUGCAACAUGACAGUAGCCAAUGUCAUAUAUCAGGGUUGUAAACCUAUUAGAUUUGGGACAGAGGAAAGUAUGAAGAUCUUCUUAUUAUUGCAAAGUAAAAGUUGAUAUUAGUGCCAACUUAGGUGAUCUGGUCCGAAAGGGUAUCUCAGCUUUAUGAGUUGAUAGUAUAUUUGCAUCAAAGAAUAAACCUUAGCUUUUAGAUAGAAUUUAUGAGUGAAAGUAUUCUGGUGUAUACCAUCCUUUGUGCAGGAUUAUCAUGGUUAUUGUGGUUGUCAAUUUUGUUGACAAAAUAGAUUGAUAUAUUUUUCGGUGUCUUAUGGUAGAUAUAUUUGGUCUGCUGUUUCAUGCAUUCUUCGGCUUUAUGAUUAAUAUUCCCAGAUAUUUGAACAAAAUUUAGCUAUUAAAUAUACAUCCCGGGAAAUUUACAUUAUUAUAGUGGGGCACUCCUUUGCACGGUUUUCAGUAUAAGAGAUUUAACCUUUUUUGCAGUAUCAUUCUCCCUGGCGGAUUACAUAUAGGUUGUUGUUCUAAUUACAAGCAUGCCUUCAGCUCAUGGUUCUUAUAUUUUUGUAUUUUCCAUAGGACAAUUUCCUGGAUUAAUAUCUAUACUCGAGAUCUAGGAGUCCACCCGAAUUUAGUGUCCAAGAAGCCGUUCAUCCAGGAUCCACCAAAAUUCAAAUGAUAUGUGAAAAGCGUGUGCUAGAUGUGGGCCCUAUCCACCGUUUUGAUCUGUCCACUCAGGUGCUUUGUCUAGGUGGUAACACAACAAGCUGCUUAUGUUAUAGAAACUUAUUAUACAUAUAGUCCUAUGUUUGUUCUGCUUGCAUGUUAGAGAAAGAGCUUCUACCCCUAUGUGAGUAAUCCUAUAGGAAUUAGCAACGUUGGCUGUACUUUCAAGCGGGCUGAAUCCAAUGCAAGUUUUUGGAGCAGUUGGGUUCCAGAACAAACAACUAGGUAUUCCCAAAGAGGUCAUUCCACUAGUGGCUAGCAUAAUAUUUUCAUGUCGAGACAAGUAAGAUGACAGAUCGUUUCUCAAAUAAUAUGCUGUUGUUCUCAAUUUUUAUUUUCUCUUCUUUUCUGCUACUUGCCUCACUAACUAUGACCUCAACGAUCUUUGGUGCAGCGAUCCAAGCAAGCAACCAUCAUUGUACCAGCUCUUGUCAUCGCUGAAGAAAUUACAGUGGUUACAUUGUUACAGAAAGCCUAUGACAAUUUGCGAGUGUUGUUUGUGCAAUAUACUGGUUUUGUGGCAGGUGCAUGUAUGAAUUCAGAUGGUAGUGGUCUCCUUGUUUACAGUUAUAAGAAUGAUAAAAAUAUUGAUAAUGGUCUUUCCACUAUUACAAUCUCAUAGAUUA